rnacentral:misc_RNA from 1 species
AAAAGAAUGAUAUUUGCUUUUAUAAUCUUUUCCUUGCCUCCUAGAAAAUUAUCAGUUACUUUUACAACAAAACAGAAAAAGUUUCAAUACAUAAGUGAGAAAUCAGUAGUGAAUAAACCCCAUAAUGACAUAUCCAAAAUUGAAGAGCUUGCACUGUGAAUCUGCAUCCUUUUUGUUUUUUUUAUCAGUAAAGAGACCAAGCCCAAAUCUUGCAUGUUUAAUCAGAUCGUGGCAGCAAGAAACUAAAUCCUGAAUUUUCACGAAUAAGAGGUGGUGGUUCAAUGUCUGAGAUAUCAAUUUGUUCCAUUGACUUGGACAAGUCAUCCACUGAAAAUGGAAUGCUUGAAUCAUCAUCCAACAGGAAAGAACUGCUAACAGCAUUGUUUGAAUCUUCCGUCAUUAACACCCUCAUAUUGGAUAUAACUUCUGAGGACACACUGUGUGUCCCAUACUUGUCAUCCCAGUACAUUGUACUAAUCCGGUAGAGCUGCUGUAUACUGAGAACCGGGCACAGGUCAUGGCUUAUUUCAUCCAAUGUUUUCUUUGGUUUUUGAUGUAUGACCAGAAACCCAAUAGCCUGUCUUAUGUGCUUAAGCUCAUCCCAAGCUGAACCUGCAUACUCAUCUGUUGCCUUGUAACACCAAUGUUCCAAUUCAGCCAAUCCAGCUUUAACGUAUUCACCAUUACUAAAUGAACAGCACUCUCGCCUCAGCAAAAGACUGUUAAAUAGUUGAACAUUGAUGAAAGAAAAUAUUUGUGUGAACACCUUACGAACUAAAAAUGGGGGUACAUGAUUUGCUUUCAAAGUGUUUAAGAAGUUCCCAAGGCUCUUCACAAUCCCUUGCCAGUGAGCAAUCAAAGCUUGUUGUGCUGCAGUGUUUGCAACUGAACGUACUCCCUUAACUAAGCUUGCUCUGGAUAUUCUUGGUGCCUGGAUGCACAAUCCAAGCAAAGGAGAAAUUUCUUUCUUCAGAUUAUCUCGAAUCAUUCCAUAAAUUUUUUCGACAUAAGCUGUUUUUUGAAAAUAAAAGCCGGGUUCUUACCUUCAACUUGGCGCAAAUUAUCCACUCCCCCAUUAAUGCCCCCAUUGAUUAAGGAAAGAUUGACUCCUUGGGGAGCUCCACGGAAACUCUGUGUCAUUCUUCCAAACAGAGUAGCAGAUGAUGAUCGGCG